AGUAUGUUUCAGACUACUCAAAUAGACAACUUAAGAUUCUAACAAUCAAGCAUUAUAACUGAAUUUAGAAGCAACCCAUUUUAAUAUUCCUAAGCCAAAAAGAACUUUUUUGAAACUCAAAAACCAUAGUUCACAAAUAAAACUAGCCAACGACAAUAUAAAGCAGAGAAGGAUAAUCAGAUACUUAACGGGACUGCUGCUUAACCAAGGACAAAAUAGAAGGAACUGGAGUGUUAUUGACACUUAGUCCUCUGAUUCGGAUUCAAAAUAUUGAGUAAUCCUUGAUUGGUUUAUGGCUAAGCUAAUUUUCCCAAACCACACAACAACACAUACACCACACAACACU